rnacentral:rRNA from 1 species
GGUUGAUCCUGCCAGUAGUCAUAUGCUUGUCUUAAAAAUUAAGCCAUGCAAGUCUAAGUAUAAACGAAUUUAUUCAGUGAGACUGCAGAAGGCUCAUUAUAUCAGUUAUUGUCUAUGCGAUGGGCAAUUUCUGCCCUAUCAGCUUUGGAUGGUAGUGUAGUGGACUACCAUGGCUUUUACGGGUGACGGGGAAUUAGGGUUCGAUUCCGGAGAGGGAGCCUGAGAAACGGCUACCACUUCUAUGGAAGGCAGCAGGCGUGCAAAUUACCCAAUCCCAAAAUGGGGAGGUAGUG